GGAGCAAACAGGAUUAGAUACCCUGGUAGUCCACGCCGUAAACGAUGUCGAUUUGGAGGUUGUGCCCUUGAGGCGUGGCUUCCGGAGCUAACGCGUUAAAUCGACCGCCUGGGGAGUACGGCCGCAAGGUUAAAACUCAAAUGAAUUGACGGGGGCCCGCACAAGCGGUGGAGCAUGUGGUUUAAUUCGAUGCAACGCGAAGAACCUUACCUGGUCUUGACAUCCACAGAACUUUCCAGAGAUGGAUUGGUGCCUUCGGGAACUGUGAGACAGGUGCUGCAUGGCUGUCGUCAGCUCGUGUUGUGAAAUGUUGGGUUAAGUCCCGCAACGAGCGCAACCCUUAUCCUUUGUUGCCAGCGGUUCGGCCGGGAACUCAAAGGAGACUGCCAGUGAUAAACUGGAGGAAGGUGGGGAUGACGUCAAGUCAUCAUGGCCCUUACGACCAGGGCUACACACGUGCUACAAUGGCAUAUACAAAGAGAAGCGACCUCGCGAGAGCAAGCGGACCUCAUAAAGUAUGUCGUAGUCCGGAUUGGAGUCUGCAACUCGACUCCAUGAAGUCGGAAUCGCUAGUAAUCGUAGAUCAGAAUGCUACGGUGAAUACGUUCCCGGGCCUUGUACACACCGCCCGUCACACCAUGGGAGUGGGUUGCAAAAGAAGUAGGUAGCUUAACCUUCGGGAGGGCGCUUACCACUUUGUGAUUCAUGACUGGGGUGAAGUCGUAACAAGGUAACCGUAGGGGAACCUGCGGUUGGAUCACCUCCUU
rnacentral:rRNA from 1 species